GGGUAGGCUGGAAUGGCCACAUGUGAUGGCUGAGGUUUGUCACCUGUAACUCCAGGAAUGUGGCUUUCUGAAAGCGAGGUUGAAUUUCUUUUAAAAUGGUGAUGUUACCAAUUUAGUUCAUUAGUUGUUGUUCUUGCAUUUUGUUAAAGCUGCUAGAUUUAUUUGCACAAUAUAGCCAUCUUAUCUCAAGUAUAUUCUCCCAGUGUAAAAGGUCUUUGAUUCA
rnacentral:misc_RNA from 1 species